rnacentral:rRNA from 1 species
GACGAACGCUGGCGGCGUGCCUAAUACAUGCAAGUAGAACGCUGAAGAGAGGAGCUUGCUCUUCUUGGAUGAGUUGCGAACGGGUGAGUAACGCGUAGGUAACCUGCCUGGUAGCGGGGGAUAACUAUUGGAAACGAUAGCUAAUACCGCAUAACAACAGUUGUUGCAUGACAGCUGUUUAAAAGAUGCAAUUGCAUCACUACCAGAUGGACCUGCGUUGUAUUAGCUAGUUGGUGAGGUAACGGCUCACCAAGGCGACGAUACAUAGCCGACCUGAGAGGGUGAUCGGCCACACUGGGACUGAGACACGGCCCAGACUCCUACGGGAGGCAGCAGUAGGGAAACUUCGGCAAUGGGGGGAACCCUGACCGAGCAACGCCGCGUGAGUGAAGAAGGUUUUCGGAUCGUAAAGCUCUGUUGUAAGAGAAGAACGAGUGUGAGAGUGGAAAGUUCACACUGUGACGGUAUCUUACCAGAAAGGGACGGCUAACUACGUG